UACGGAGGGGCUAGCGUUGUUCGGAAUUACUGGGCGUAAAGCGCACGUAGGCGGCUUUGCAAGUUAGAGGUGAAAGCCCGGGGCUCAACUCCGGAAUUGCCUUUAAAACUGCAUCGCUAGAUGUGAGAGGUAAGUGGAAUUCCGAGUGUAGAGGUGAAAUCGUAGAUAUUCGGAAGAACACCAGUGGCGAAGGCGACUUACUGGACACAUAUUGACCGCUGAGGUGCGAAAGCGUGGGGAGCAAACAGG
rnacentral:rRNA from 1 species